rnacentral:rRNA from 1 species
GACGAACGCUGGCGGCGUGCUUAACACAUGCAAGUCGAACGGAAAGGCCCUGCUUUUGUGGGGUGCCCGAGUGGCGAACGGGUGAGUAACACGUGAGUAACCUGCCCUUGACUUUGGGAUAACUUCAGGAAACUGGGGCUAAUACCGGAUAGGAGCCCCUGUUGCAUGGUGGGGGUUGGAAAGUUUCGGCGGGUGGGGAUGGACUCGCGGCUUAUCAGCUUGUUGGUGGGGUAGUGGCUUACCAAGUCUUUGGCGGGUAGCCGGCCUGGGAGGGUGACCGGCCACCUUGGGCCUGAGAUACGGCCCAGACUGCUACGGGAGGCAGCAGUGGGGAAUAUUGCACAGUGGGCGGAAGCCUGAUGCAGCAGCGCCGCGUUCGGGAUGACGGCCUUCGGGUUGUGAACCGCUUUCGCCUGUGACGAAGCGUGAGUGACGGUAAUGGGUAAAGAAGCACCGGCUAACUACGUG